CAGCAGCCGCGGUAAUACGGAGGGUGCAAGCAUUAAUCGGAUUCAUUGGGCGUAAAGAGCGCGUAGGCGGGAAUGUAAGUCGGGUGUGAAAUCCCACGGCUUAACCGUGGAACUGCACUCGAAACUGCGAGGCUAGAGUAUCGGAGAGGUAAGUGGAACUCUUGGUGUAGCAGUGAAAUGCGUAGAUAUCGAGAGGAACACUCGUGGCGAAGGCGAGUUACUGGACAUUUACUGACGCUGAGGCUCGAGGGCUAGGGGAGCGAACAGGAUUAGAUACCCUGGUAGUCCUUGCCGUAAACGAUGCAUACUUGGUGUAGCUGGACUCAACCCUAGCUGUGCCGGAGCUAACGCGUUAAGUAUGCCGCCUGGGGAGUACGCUCGCAAGGGUGAAACUCAAAAGAAUUGACGGGGACCCGCACAAGCAGUGGAGCAUGUGGUUUAAUUCGAUGCAACGCGAAGAACCUUACCCAGGCUUGACAUGCAGUGGACCGUGCCAGAGAUGGUACUUCCCUUCGGGGCCGCUGCACAAGUGCUGCAUGGCUGUCGUCAGCUCGUGCCGUGAGGUGUUGGGUUAAGUCCCGCAACGAGCGCAACCCUUGUCGUUAGUUGCCAGCACGUAAUGGUGGGAACUCUAACGAGACUGCCUAGGUUAACUAGGAGGAAGGUGAGGAUGACGUCAAGUCCGCAUGGCCCUUAUGUCUGGGGCUACACACGUGCUACAAUGGCCGGUACAGAAGGCAGCAAAGCCGCAAGGUGGAGCAAAUCCGUAAAAACCGGUCCCAGUUCGGAUUGUCGUCUGCAACUCGACGACAUGAAGUUGGAAUUGCUAGUAAUGGCGUGUCAGCAACAACGCCGUGAAUACGUUCCCGGGUCUUGUACACACCGCCCGUCACAUCAUGGGAGUUGGUUUCACCCGAAGUCGCUGACUCAACCGCAAGGAGAGAGGCGCCGAAGGUGAGGCUGAUGACUGGGAUGAAGUCGUAACAAGGUAACCGUA
rnacentral:rRNA from 1 species